GACCUGUUAGCUCAGUUGGUUAGAGCCUGAUGCUGAUAACAUCAAGGUUGCUGGUUCAAUUCCGGCAUGGGCCA